rnacentral:lncRNA from 1 species
AGCUGCAGUUCCCUGAUGGAAGCUUGCUCCAGAAAACAGCUGUUAAUCACAUGUUUGCUGCAUUUCCACUUCCUUUAGCCUGUCCUUGAACCAGCUAUAUCUCCUAGGCUGUAUCCCCUGAAGGGGCCUGACUCCAUUACUAGACUCCUGUUUCUGGGAUUUACCUAUAAGAGAUCCCUUCACCUCCC